CCUACGGGAGGCAGCAGUGGGGAAUAUUGGACAAUGGGGGGAACCCUGAUCCAGCCAUGCCGCGUGUGUGAAGAAGGCCUUUUGGUUGUAAAGCACUUUAAGCGAGGAGGCGUUACUCGCAAAAUAAGCACCGGCUAACUCUGUGCCAGCAGCCGCGGUAAUACAGAGGGUGCGAGCGUUAAUCGGAUUUACUGGGCGUAAAGCGUGCGUAGGCGGCCAAUUAAGUCAAAUGUGAAAUCCCCGAGCUUAACUUGGGAAUUGCAUUCGAUACUGGUUGGCUAGAGUAUGGGAGAGGAUGGUAGAAUUCCAGGUGUAGCGGUGAAAUGCGUAGAGAUCUGGAGGAAUACCGAUGGCGAAGGCAGCCAUCUGGCCUAAACUGACGCUGAGGUACGAAAGCAUGGGGAGCAAACAGGAUUAGAUACCCUUGUAGUC
rnacentral:rRNA from 1 species